rnacentral:tRNA from 1 species
GGGCGUGUAGCUCAGUCGGUAGAGCAGUUGACUCUUAAUCAAUUGGUCGUGGGUUCGAGUCCCACCGCGCCCA